rnacentral:rRNA from 1 species
GGAUUGAAAUGGGGGCACCCUGAUCCAGCAAUGCCGCGUGUGUGAAGAAGGCCUUCGGGUUGUAAAGCACUUUUGUCCGGAAAGAAAACCUCCGUCCUAAUACGGUGGGGGGAUGACGGUACCGGAAGAAUAAGCACCGGCUAACUACGUGCCAGCAGCCGCGGUAAUACGUAGGGUGCAAGCGUUAAUCGGAAUUACUGGGCGUAAAGCGUGCGCAGGCGGUUCGCUAAGACCGAUGUGAAAUCCCCGGGCUUAACCUGGGAACUGCAUUGGUGACUGGCGGGCUAGAGUAUGGCAGAGGGGGGUAGAAUUCCACGUGUAGCAGUGAAAUGCGUAGAGAUGUGGAGGAAUACCGAUGGCGAAGGCAGCCCCCUGGGCCAAUACUGACGCUCAUGCACGAAAGCGUGGGGAGCAAACAGGAUUAGAUACCCUGGUAGUCCACGCCCUAAACGAUGUCAACUAGUUGUCGGGUCUUCAUUGACUUGGUAACGAAGCUAACGCGUGAAGUUGACCGCCUGGGGAGUACGGUCGCAAGAUUAAAACUCAAAGAAAUUGACGGA